rnacentral:rRNA from 1 species
UACGUAGGGUGCAAGCGUUAUCCGGAUUCACUGGGUUUAAAGGGUGCGUAGGCGGGCUUGUAAGUCAGUGGUGAAAGCCCGGAGCUUAACUCCGGAACUGCCAUUGAUACUGCAAGUCUUGAGUACACUUGAGGUGGGCGGAAUACAUCAUGUAGUGGUGAAAUACUUAGAUAUGAUGUAGAACACCGAUUGCGAAGGCAGCUCACUAAAUUGUAACUGACGCUGAGGCACGAAAGCGUGGGGAGCAAACAGG